GUUGAUCCUGCCAGUAGUCAUAUGCUUGUCUCAAAGAUUAAGCCAUGCAUGUCUCAGUACAAGCCGAAUUAAGGUGAAACCGCGAAAGGCUCAUUAAAUCAGUUAUGGUUCCUUAGAUCGUACCCACAUUUACUUGGAUAACUGUGGUAAUUCUAGAGCUAAUACAUGCAAAUAGAGCUCCGACCGGAGACGGAAGGAGCGCUUUUAUUAGAUCAAAACCAAUCGGCGGCGGGCUCGCUCGUCGUCGUACAACUUGGUGAAUCUGAAUAACUUUCUGCUGAUCGCAUGGUCUCGCACCGGCGACGCAUCUUUCAAAUGUCUGCCUUAUCAACUGUCGAUGGUAGGUUCUGCGCCUACCAUGGUUGUAACGGGUAACGGGGAAUCAGGGUUCGAUUCCGGAGAGGGAGCCUGAGAAACGGCUACCACAUCCAAGGAAGGCAGCAGGCGCGCAAAUUACCCACUCCCGGCACGGGGAGGUAGUGACGAAAAAUAACGAUACGGGACUCAUCCGAGGCCCCGUAAUCGGAAUGAGUACACUCUAAACCCUUUAACGAGGAUCAAUUGGAGGGCAAGUCUGGUGCCAGCAGCCGCGGUAAUUCCAGCUCCAAUAGCGUAUAUUAAAGUUG
rnacentral:rRNA from 1 species